GAAAUGCGAUAAGUAAUGUGAAUUGCAGAAUUCAGUGAAUCAUCGAAUCUUUGAACGCACAUUGCGCCCGCCAGUAUUCUGGCGGGCAUGCCUGUUCGAGCGUCAUUUCAACCAUCAAGCCCCCCGCUUGUGUUGGGGACCUGCGGCUGCCCGCAGGCCCUGAAAAACAGUGGCGGGCUCGCUGUCACACCGAGCGUAGUAGCAUACAUUCUCGCUCAGGGCGUGCUGCGGGUUCCGGCCGUUAAACGACCUUCAUAACCCAAGGUUGACCUCGGAUCAGGUAGGAAGACCCGCUGAACUUAAGC
rnacentral:misc_RNA from 1 species